rnacentral:rRNA from 1 species
UUGAAACUCAAAGGAAUUGACGGGGGCCCGCACAAGCAGUGGAGUAUGUGGUUUAAUUCGAAGCAACGCGAAGAACCUUACCAGGUCUUGACAUCGUGCGCAUAUCCUAGAGAUAGGAGAAGCCCUUCGGGGCGCACAGACAGGUGGUGCAUGGUUGUCGUCAGCUCGUGUCGUGAGAUGUUGGGUUAAGUCCCGCAACGAGCGCAACCCUUGUAUUUAGUUGCUACGCAAGAGCACUCUAGAUAGACUGCCGUUGAUAAAACGGAGGAAGGUGGGGAUGACGUCAAAUCAUCAUGCCCCUUACGACCUGGGCAACACACGUACUACAAUGGCGUAAACAGAGGGAAGCAAAACAGCGAUGUGGAGCAAACCCCUAAAAUGCGUCUCAGUUCAGAUCGCAGGCUGCAACUCGCCUGCGUGAAGUCGGAAUUGCUAGUAAUCGCGGAUCAGCAUGCCGCGGUGAAUACGUUCCCGGGCCUUGUACACACCGCCCGUCACACCAUGGGAGCCGGUAACACCC